GGAAGGAGAAGCCAGCCAACCAGUUGGGUCUCAGGCGCCACUACCGAGAAGGCCCUCUGUCUGGUUCCCUGUAAGCUCACUUCUCGCAGUGAAGGAACCGCCAGAAGGCCCUCGGUGCUGGAUCUCAGUGUCCGGACUGAACGAUGGGGGUGGAGACACUCCUUCAGGUAUACAGGACCGAGGCUGUUUAGGGCUUUAAAGGUCAGCACCAACACUUAGAAUUGUGCUCAGAAACGUACUGGGAGCCAAUGCAGAUCUCUCAGAACCGGUGUUAUGUGGUCCCGGUGGCCACUCCAAGUCACCCCCAGGAUGGACUUGCUCUGCCACUGACAUUGGGGAUGGGGCCAAGCAUCCAACAGCUAGUCUGGUCUCUGAUUACUGGUCCUUGCCCUAUGCUUACCCAACCCUGCUUAUGUGCUGUAAUCAAUAACAUUGUGGUCUGUUUUUAACCAUAACUGGCCUGGUCCUUCUCUUCUCGGCUCACGAGGGUGAGGUGUCUGUGCACAGCGCACAAUACCAAUAAGUCGUAAUUUGAUACCCAUUUAAUUGCAGUGAAAAUCUGUUGAUUUAAAUCCGUUGGCAGUGAGUCAAACUCAGUCUAAUAUAAUUACAUUUUAUCCUAUAUGUAAUACUUAAGGUUCUUUCUUUCUUUCUUAAUCUACAGUAACCUCUGCUGCUGCUUCAAUAUUCAAGCUUUCAAGAC